rnacentral:rRNA from 1 species
CCUACGGGGGGCAGCAGUGAGGAAUAUUGGUCAAUGGGCGAGAGCCUGAACCAGCCAAGUCGCGUGAGGGAGUACUGCCCUAUGGGUUGUAAACCUCUUUUGUCGGGGAGCAAAAGCCGGACGUGUCCGGCUGUGAGAGUACCCGAAGAAAAAGCAUCGGCUAACUCCGUGCCAGCAGCCGCGGUAUUACGGAGGAUGCGAGCGUUAUCCGGAUUUAUUGGGUUAAAAGGGUGCGCAGGCGGAUUUUUAAGUCAGCGGUAAAAUCGUGGGGCUCAACCCCAUCCAGCCGUUGAAACUGGGGAUCUAGAGUGUGCGAGAGGUAUGCGGAAUGCGUGGUGUAGCGGUGAAAUGCAUAGAUAUCACGCAGAACCCCGAUUGCGAAGGCAGCAUACCGGUGCACAACUGACGCUCAGGCACGAAAGCGUGGGUAUCGAACAGGAUUAGAUACCCUAGUAGUC